GAAAGUUGAAAAGAACUUUGAAGAGAGGGUUCAAGAGUACGUGAAACCGCCACGGGAAAAAACGGACGGGACCUCGAAGGACACGCUCCGGGGAUUCAACCGUACGCGUCGGGCCGGCGACCGCUGCCGAUCGCAAGGCGGCGCGGACGUCGAGCUUCGACUCCGUACGGUGCACUUCCUCGGGGCAGUACGCCGCGACCGGUCUUCGAGCUGCCAACAGGGGGCGCGGGAGACUGUCGGCGGGAUCUUUCUCCCGGCAGACCGCGUCCGUCUGGCAGCCUCGAGGACCGUUUCCGAAAGGCCAGGCGCCCGCGCACGACGCGUCAGUCUCGAACUCUGACGGCGGCGCCCCGCUCUGCGGCGAGUAGAUCGGCGACCCGUCCGACCCGUCUUGAAACACGGACCAAGGAGUCUAACAUGUGCGCGAGCGAUUGGGCGUACGGAGGCCCAAACGCGCAACGAAAGUGAAGGCCCGGAUCGCCGGGCCGAGGGGCGAUCCCGCCGCGUUGGCGGGCGCAACCCCGGGACGAGCCGUUCGCUUCGUCGUGGGCUCGUACCCAGAGCGUACACGUUGGGACCCGAAAGAUGGUGAACUAUGCCUGGCCAGGACGAAGUCAGAGGAAACUCUGAUGGAGGUCCGUAGCGAUUUUGACGUGCAAAUCAAUCGUCCGAGCUGGGUAUAGGGGCGAAAGACUAAUCGAACCAUCUAGUAGCUGGAUCCAUCCGAAGUUUCCCUCAGGAUAGCUGGCGCUCGCANGACCGAGUUUCAUCCGGUAAAGCGAAUGAUUAGAGGCCUUGGGGCCGAAACGANCUCAACCUAUUCUCAAACUUUAAAUGGGUGAGAAGUCGGGCUUGCUCGACUGAAGCACCGACCNUNGAAUCNAGAGUGCCAAGUGGGCCACUUUUGGUAAGCAGAACUGGCGCUGUGGGAUGAACCAAACGCAGAGUUAAGGUGCCCGAGAGAACGCUCAUCAGAUCCCAUGAAAGGUGUUGGUUGCUAUAGACAGCAGGACGGUGGCCAUGGAAGUCGGAA
rnacentral:rRNA from 1 species